AGGUUGCGGGUGGCAUGAAAUGAGCGAUUAUAAUAUACCAAAAAAGAUGACACUCCUCUUGAUUGGUCCUAGAGGAUCUGGAAAAAGUAGUCUUGUUAACAAGAUUUUGAGGGUGUUUGAGGAUGAUCCUUUUACACCAGAAAGGCAUGUUCCAACCAUCUGAUACAUCGAACUCACUCGACCACUUCGAAUCAGAUUUCGCAGAAUCUCCAUCAGGCUUCAAAGAUCGAGUGUGAUCCAGAGUCUUAUAAGUGUUCUUGCUGGUGUGAUCCAGAGGAUUCUGAUGAUGCACAUCUGACAUCUAAAGCUCACCGAAAUAGUUGCCACUGAGACCAAGGUGGUUAAUUUUGUCAUAUUUGUUGUCAGUGCGGUCCAAUUCUGCACUUAAUGGAUAGUGACGAUGAAACAGAGAGGCAACAAACUCAAGCUGUUGCUACAACUUUCAACAGCCCUCUCUUGUCACUCAAAGAAAGUGAUGAUUUAGGAACUAAGUGGACUAUACUCAACAUGCAUCGUUAUUGCCUUGAGCACACUGAUAAAAACCUACCCUUCAAAAAGAUCUACCUGCCAAAGGCCCAUUUAGUAGCAAGGCAACUCUAUUAAUAUUUGUGGGAGUGGUGCUGAUCUUGAUGGAUUUUCAUUUUCAUAGGCACGGUUGAUUCUGUAACCCUGAGGUAAACAUAGACUGGAAUGCAACUGUUGUUGGUCCUGAGGUAUUGCAACCACAUGUAAACAUAGGUGGUCAUGCAAAUGGUGUUGAUUCUGUUUGCGAUCUUCACAAUGAGACGUCUCAAUCAGAUGUAAACAUACAGUGGGUUGCAAUUUGGCGUGCAAUUCGACACUUACUGUGUGGCGAUGUUCACUGAUGAGCUCGGAUGUAAUGAGGUUGAUGCAUUUGUCUAUAGCUGUUAUGUUCCCCAAAUGCAAUGUUCUCUCUGUAUAAACAGCAGCAGUAGAACUCUCUUCUUGCAUGUAUAGGACUUAUCAGCAAUGAUUCUCUUACUAGGACAACUGACAUUCAUUUGUAAAGUUGAUAACUAUGAGGAGUGGCGGAGAUAAGAUUUUCACUAAGGGGUUGAAAAUCUAAAAAGUAAAUAUGUGAUGAAGCCAAGGGGUUUCAGCAUUUACUAGUAUAUACUAUAUAUAAAU